rnacentral:lncRNA from 1 species
UCAUCACAUACAUUUCAACCAUCAUCACAUACAUUUCAACCAUCAUCACAUACAUUUCAGAUAACAUGGUUUGUCAGCAAAUACAUUCCAAGGGAGUAGAUCCAUCAACAAAUUUACAACAUUGACAGUGAUAAUACUUGAUGACAUUGUUCUAUGAUGCAUAAAAAUAUAAUUACAAUUAUAGAUCCAUCAACGAACUCAACAAUCGGGCAAUAUAACUACUCGAAAAAGCACUCCGUGGAAUUUCAUUGAUAAAAAUGCACUAAUUAAUCACCCAAAAUUUUAGAAGGUGGAAAUUGUGAUUCACAGUCCAGGAAAACCUACUAAUUUCCCGGAUUUGUCCCCAUUGAAAAAAAGAACAGAUUUGAAAACAGAUCUGAUCUCAUACAAAAAAAAUCAGGAAACUUUCCAGAGAGAAAAAACGAGGAAAGAAAAUGGCUUGGAGAAGAGCUCGCUGGAACAAUCUGAUAUCGUACAAAAAAAGUUCCAGGAAACCUGGACAGAAAAAUCGAGGAAAGAAACUUUCUCAGAGAAAAAACGAGAAAAGAAAAUUCCAGGAAACUUGAUUGAUUACUUAACUAAUAAUUAAAGGUAACUUCAGCGGUGGGCGAUAGCGCGUCAUUAGUUCUUGAGGUAGAGAUGGAGAACCCCUGCUAGGUGGAGGAUGCCGAUUACGAGGAUCCAUCUGAGGGCGCCCAGGCUGUAGCUGGUUUGACUUGGUGCGUGGAUGAACAACAGGAACAAGUAGUUUUGUUAUAGGAAAGAACUGGAUGCAAACCUCAAGCGGUGGAUUCAAGGAGGUGCUUCGAUUGAAUAGAAUGGGUAAAGGGCUGGACUCACAUGGUGAUGCUCGCACUUGUAGAAAUGUUUGUCGGGGUUCUUCUCGGUCUGGGAGACCCACCAGUGCACUGCACGUCGCCAUUGUUGCACCACGGGCAGCGGAUGAGAGGAAGAGGAGCCUGCUCCUGGAAGUAGGGUGCGAGUGACUGGAAGGAGGAGGAGGCACACAUGUCGCCGGAUCUAGUAGAUCGCCUGGUUUAGAUCGGGAACGAGCAGAAAAAUGGGGAACGGAAUGACCUUUGAGGAAGAGGAACAGUGCGAGGUAGGAGGAAAUAUCAAAGACUACGGCGUGGUAAAUGAGAGAGCAGGUGGGGCUUGGUGGACCAGCGUCUCCCCUCCUGAUAGGUCUAGCUUGUACUCCCUCCGUUUUAAAAUAAAUGACUCAACUUUGUACUAAUACGAGCAGUUUUGUUCCAGGUAUUUUAGGGAUAUAGAGCUAAAUACAGCGCAUUUAAACCAAGUGAUCCGAAUCUAUAUGCAAGGGA